ACCCCCUCCCUUUCAAUCACUGUAAUGUGUUUGACUGCGCUAACCCUCUUCCCUCUGGCUAUAAUGUGUGUAAAACUGUCAUACAUUCAGGCAACACUCUAUCAAGGUAAUGUGUUUGAUUAUUCCAGUCCCGGGCCUACUUUACAAAACGUGCCUGAGUGUACCAACAGCCCUUUUCCUGACCGUGCCGGCAUGCUAAACAGGGACAGACCGACAAUAUGAAGCAACAGAACCUGUCCAUGUUCAAAUGAAAUCUAAACCACACUGGAUGCAGUAUUUGAAAUCAGUGUACUAUGUAAUCUGAGUCAGUGUAAUGUGUAAUCCGUCUCUGUGACCUCCAGCUGAAUGACUGUCUGAGAGCUUCCAGGUGUAUCAUCAGAUUUUCCACUUCUCUGCUCCCUUAAAUCUCAUUCUUUCUUUCCUGGCACCUUCCGCCAUUUCAGCCUAAGCCACUUGAUUCUUUUUUCCCCCAUCAACUCUCACUUCUUUCCUUGCUUAACCCACUUCAGUCCUUUUUUUCUUCGACUACAAAACACAUUGCAUUGCCUCUUGAACUUUUUGUUAUUCUGUCCCUUUUGCCAACAUUCUUCCCCCCUAAAUCUUCUCAUUUUCCGUCAACAAACUGUCUCUUUCCCGCUGACUCGCUCUCUGUGCGCUACUGUUCCGAGAGCCAGAGGUUGCUGAAGAAAAGCACACUGCGCCGCGGCAGUAAUAGCAGUGUUCCAGUGCGGUAUAGCUAAUGAUGUGUAGCUGUUAACCUCCGAGGUGCGGACCCUGGCUGUGGAGAGAUCACCCACGGAGAGGAAUGUGGUCUGGCCUGAAGUCCAGUGCAACCCACCUUGGUAACCAACUAAGAGCUCUGAGUGGAGACCACAUGAAGCAUUUUCUCUGUAGUCUUGCAGACAGCGAGUCAUACAUCACCCUCAGACAAACACCGGGGUCCUGGGGGCCAUGGCUCCAGCUUGUCCCUGCACCCUCAACAACUCACCAACCCUUCGGCCUCAUGCAGCCUGUGUGUCCCCGAAAAAUCAUCUUUCCCAAGGGCUCAACCCCCAGGUUAACAAUGCUGGCUGCAGUGUGAAUGGAGUCUACAGGAUGAUCAGCUGACCUUCCCAUGUAUCACAGCGGAUAAAGUUGAUGCCAAAUCACCAAAAAAUGACAAACAAACACCAUUAACAUGGUCAUGUACUAAACUGACAGGUGAUAUUCCAGAAUACCAAAUGCCAAGACAUUCAGUGUACUAAAGACAAUACUUCUAUUGGGUCUAUUUUGGUCCUACUUAUUAAUAUAUUCAAAAUUACAUAAAAAAUGCAAUUCGUACAUAUAUUGACUUAAAUUAAAAAUGUUCAUCACAAAAAAAAGUGCAUUCAUGUUUUAAAGAUAAUGUUGAUACUAUUAAAUAAACAUAAUAUUGCAGCUACACUGCUUAUUAAUUUUUGAAAAUCUAAAAAAGUAAGAGAUAUCCUAGAGAGGACACCAGCAGAGCCUUAUGACUUUGUCAAUGUCAAUAAGACACCCUAAAAUCUUAAUAUUUAUUAAUUAAUAAUUUAUAAUGUAGGUGUAAGGUGUAAGGAAAAUAUGUUAUUACUUUUUACUUGAUGAAUAUACCACAUGACAUUUUUAGAGUCAUUCAUCUGAAACCUUUCUUGAAAAUGUUUUUUAAAAAAGUUUUUUUUUUUUUUUUUAAAACAUGAAUA